rnacentral:rRNA from 1 species
GGGGAAUAUUGCGCAAUGGAGGAAACUCUGACGCAGCGACGCCGCGUGAGCGAAGAAGGCCUUCGGGUCGUAAAGCUCUGUUCUUGGGGACGAAUAAGGUGACGGUACCCAAGGAGAAAGCCCCGGCUAACUACGUGCCAGCAGCCGCGGUAAUACGUAGGGGGCGAGCGUUGUCCGGAAUUACUGGGCGUAAAGGGCGUGUAGGCGGCCGUGCAAGUCAAGUGUGAAAAGCCUCGGCUUAACCGAGGCAUUGCACAUGAAACUGCAUGGCUUGAGUGCAGGAGAGGGAAGUGGAAUUCCUAGUGUAGCGGUGAAAUGCGUAGAUAUUAGGAGGAACACCAGUGGCGAAGGCGACUUCCUGGACUGUAACUGACGCUGAGGCGCGAAAGCGUGGGUAGCAAAC